UACGGGGGGGGGCAAGCGUUGUUCGGAAUUACUGGGCGUAAAGGGCGCGUAGGCGGCCACCGCAAGUCGGUUGUGAAAUCUCCGGGCUUAACCCGGAAAGGUCAGCCGAUACUGCGGGGCUAGAGUGCAGAAGGGGCAACUGGAAUUCUUGGUGUAGCGGUGAAAUGCGUAGAUAUCAAGAGGAACACCGGUGGCGAAGGCGGGUCUCUGGGCUGACACUGACGCUCAUGCACGAAAGCGUGGGGAGCAAACAGG
rnacentral:rRNA from 1 species